rnacentral:rRNA from 1 species
UACGUAGGGUGCGAGCGUUAAUCGGAAUUACUGGGCGUAAAGCGUGCGCAGGCGGUUUUGUAAGCCAGAUGUGAAAUCCCCGGGCUUAACCUGGGAAUGGCAUUUGGGACUGCAAGGCUCGAGUGCGGCAGAGGAGACUGGAAUUCCUGGUGUAGCAGUGAAAUUCGUAGAUAUCGGGAGGAACACCGGUGGCGAAGGCGGCGACCUGGGUCGAGACUGACGCUGAGGCGCGAAAGCGUGGGGAGCAAACAGG